rnacentral:rRNA from 1 species
UACCAGACUCCUACGGGAGGCAGCAGUGGGGAAUAUUGCACAAUGGGGGAAACCCUGAUGCAGCGACGCCGCGUGAGUGAAGAAGUAUUUCGGUAUGUAAAGCUCUAUCAGCAGGGAAGAAAAUGACGGCACCUGACUAAGAAGCCCCGGCUAACUACGUGCCAGCAGCCGCGGUAAUACGUAGGGGGCAAGCGUUAUCCGGAUUUACUGGGUGUAAAGGGAGCGUAGACGGCAUGGCAAGUCAGAUGUGAAAGCCCGGGGCUCAACCCCGGGACUGCAUUUGAAACUGUCAGGCUGGAGUGCAGGAGAGGUAAGUGGAAUUCCUAGUGUAGCGGUGAAAUGCGUAGAUAUUAGGAGGAACACCAGUGGCGAAGGCGGCUUACUGGACUGUAACUGACGUUGAGGCUCGAAAGCGUGGGGAGCAAACAGGAUUAGAUACCCCAGUA